AUGAUGAACGCUAGCUACAGGCUUAACACAUGCAAGUCGAGGGGCAUCGUGAAGAAAGCUUGCUUUCUUUGCCGGCGACCGGCGCACGGGUGAGUAACACGUAUCCAACCUGCCCUUUACUCGGGGAUAGCCUUUCGAAAGAAAGAUUAAUACCCGAUAGUAUAAUGAUUCCGCAUGGUUUCAUUAUUAAAGGAUUCCGGUAAAGGAUGGGGAUGCGUUCCAUUAGGUUGUUGGUGAGGUAACGGCCCACCAAGCCUUCGAUGGAUAGGGGUUCUGAGAGGAAGGUCCCCCACAUUGGAACUGAGACACGGUCCAAACUCCUACGGGAGGCAGCAGUGAGGAAUAUUGGUCAAUGGGCGCUAGCCUGAACCAGCCAAGUAGCGUGAAGGAUGAAGGCUCUAUGGGUCGUAAACUUCUUUUAUAUAAGAAUAAAGUGCAGUAUGUAUACUGUUUUGUAUGUAUUAUAUGAAUAAGGAUCGGCUAACUCCGUGCCAGCAGCCGCGGUAAUACGGAGGAUCCGAGCGUUAUCCGGAUUUAUUGGGUUUAAAGGGAGCGUAGGUGGACUGGUAAGUCAGUUGUGAAAGUUUGCGGCUCAACCGUAAAAUUGCAGUUGAUACUGUCAGUCUUGAGUACAGUAGAGGUGGGCGGAAUUCGUGGUGUAGCGGUGAAAUGCUUAGAUAUCACGAAGAACUCCGAUUGCGAAGGCAGCUCACUGGACUGCAACUGACACUGAUGCUCGAAAGUGUGGGUAUCAAACAGGAUUAGAUACCCUGGUAGUCCACACAGUAAACGAUGAAUACUCGCUGUUUGCGAUAUACAGUAAGCGGCCAAGCGAAAGCAUUAAGUAUUCCACCUGGGGAGUACGCCGGCAACGGUGAAACUCAAAGGAAUUGACGGGGGCCCGCACAAGCGGAGGAACAUGUGGUUUAAUUCGAUGAUACGCGAGGAACCUUACCCGGGCUUAAAUUGCAGUGGAAUGAUGUGGAAACAUGUCAGUGAGCAAUCACCGCUGUGAAGGUGCUGCAUGGUUGUCGUCAGCUCGUGCCGUGAGGUGUCGGCUUAAGUGCCAUAACGAGCGCAACCCUUAUCUUCAGUUACUAACAGGUCAUGCUGAGGACUCUGGAGAGACUGCCGUCGUAAGAUGUGAGGAAGGUGGGGAUGACGUCAAAUCAGCACGGCCCUUACGUCCGGGGCUACACACGUGUUACAAUGGGGGGUACAGAAGGCAGCUAGCGGGUGACCGUAUGCUAAUCCCAAAAUCCUCUCUCAGUUCGGAUCGAAGUCUGCAACCCGACUUCGUGAAGCUGGAUUCGCUAGUAAUCGCGCAUCAGCCACGGCGCGGUGAAUACGUUCCCGGGCCUUGUACACACCGCCCGUCAAGCCAUGGGAGCCGGGGGUACCUGAAGUACGUAACCGCAAGGAUCGUCCUAGGGUAAAAC
rnacentral:rRNA from 1 species